CCUGGCUCAGAGCAAACGCUGGCGGCGUGCCUAAUACAUGCAAGUCGAACGAGAAACCCCUUCGGGGGUGGAAAGUGGCGCACGGGUGAGGAACGCGUGGAUAAUCUGCCCUCUAGUGGGGAACAACUAUCCGAAAGGAUAGCUAAUACCGCAUAAGACCACAGCAUCUGCGGGUGCAGUGGUUAAAGAUUUAUCGCUAAAGGAUGAGUCUGCGUCCGAUUAGCUUGAUGGUGGGGUAAAAGCCUACCAUGGCGACGAUCGGUAGCUGGUCUGAGAGGAUGAUCAGCCACACUGGAACUGAGACACGGUCCAGACUCCUACGGGAGGCAGCAGUAGGGAAUCUUGCGCAAUGGGGGAAACCCUGACGCAGCAACGCCGCGUGAGUGAUGAAGGCUUUAGGGUUGUAAAGCUCUGUUCUGUGGGAAUAAAAAAAUGAAUGUACCACAGAAGAAAGGACCGGCUAACUUCGUGCCAGCAGCCGCGGUAAUACGAGGGGUCCAAGCGUUGUUCGGAAUUAUUGGGCGUAAAGCGGGUGUAGGCGGCUUAAUAAGUCAGAAGUGAAAGCCCUGGGCUCAACCCAGGAAGUGCUUUUGAUACUGCAAAGCUUGAGUAUGGGAGAGGGAAGUGGAAUUCCUGGUGUAGCGGUGAAAUGCGUAGAUAUCAGGAGGAACAUCGGUGGCGAAGGCGGCUUCCUGGCCAUGUAUUGACGCUCAGACCCGAAAGCGUGGGUAGCAAACAGGAUUAGAUACCCUGGUAGUCCACGCCGUAAACUAUGGACACUUGGUGUUGGAGGUAUUGACCCCUUCAGUGCCGGAGCUAACGCGUUAAGUGUCCCGCCUGGGGAGUACGGUCGCAAGAUUAAAACUCAAAGAAAUUGACGGGGGCCCGCACAAGCGGUGGAGCAUGUGGUUUAAUUCGAAGCAACGCGCAGAACCUUACCUGGGCUUGACAUCCCGAGAAGUUUGUGGAAACACGAAUGUGUCUUGAGGAGAUCGGAGACAGGUGCUGCAUGGCUAUCGUCAGCUCGUGUCGUGAGAUGUUGGGUUAAGUCCCGCAACGAGCGCAACCCUUGUCCUUAGUUACCAUCAUUAAGUUGGGGACUCUAAGGAGACUGCCGGUGAGAAACCGGAGGAAGGUGGGGAUGACGUCAAAUCAUCAUGCCCCUUAUGACCUGGGCUACACACGUGCUACAAUGGAUGGUACAAAGGGCUGCAAAACCGCGAGGUGGAGCGAAUCCCAAAAAGCCGGUCUCAGUUCGGAUUGGAGUCUGCAACUCGACUCCAUGAAGCUGGAAUCGCUAGUAAUCGUGGAUCAGCAUGCCACGGUGAAUACGUUCCCGUGUCUUGUACACACCGCCCGUCACACCACGGGAGUUGGUUGUACCAGAAGUAGCUGAGUUAACCUUUGGAGACAGGCGCCCAAGGUAUGGUCGAUGAUUGGGGUGAAGUCGUAACA
rnacentral:rRNA from 1 species